GUGUCAGCAGCCGCGGUAAUACGUAGGGUGCGAGCGUUAAUCGGAAUUACUGGGCGUAAAGCGUACGCAGGCGGCUAGGUAAGACAGAUGUGAAAUCCCCGGGCUUAACCUGGGAACUGCAUUUGUGACUGCCUGGCUAGAGUUCGUUAGAGGGGGGUGGAAUUCCACGUGUAGCAGUGAAAUGCGUAGAGAUGUGGAGGAACACCGAUGGCGAAGGCAGCCCCCUGGGAUGAAACUGACGCUCAUGUACGAAAGCGUGGGGAGCAAACAGGAUUAGAUACCCUGGUAGUCCACGCCCUAAACGAUGUCGACUAGUUGUCGGGCCUUUACAGGCUUGGUAACGCAGCUAACGCGUGAAGUCGACCGCCUGGGGAGUACGGUCGCAAGAUUAAA
rnacentral:rRNA from 1 species